ACUAUUUUGGCAGAAAAAUGUAUUGAAUUUAGAAUUCAUUUAUGUAAAUAUAAUUUUACAGAUAGUA
rnacentral:tRNA from 1 species